UGCGCAGGUGGGAAUGUAAGUCAGUGGUGAAAUACUGCCGCUUAACGGUAGAAUUGCCAUUGAUACUGCAUUUCUUGAGUAUGGUUGAGGUAGGCGGAAUGUGUCGUGUAGCGGUGAAAUGCAUAGAUAUGACACAGAACGCCGAUUGCGAAGGCAGCUUACUAAGCCAUUACUGACACUGAGGCACGAAAGCGUGGGGAGCGAACAGGAUUAGAUACCCUGGUAGUCC
rnacentral:rRNA from 1 species